rnacentral:rRNA from 1 species
UACAGAGGUCUCAAGCGUUGUUCGGAUUCAUUGGGCGUAAAGGGUGCGUAGGUGGCGUGGUAAGUCGGGUGUGAAAUUUCGGAGCUUAACUCCGAAACUGCAUUCGAUACUGCGGUGCUUGAGGACUGGAGAGGAGACUGGAAUUCAUGGUGUAGCAGUGAAAUGCGUAGAGAUCAUGAGGAAGACCAGUGGCGAAGGCGGGUCUCUGGACAGUUCCUGACGCUGAGGCACGAAGGCCAGGGGAGCAAACGGG